rnacentral:rRNA from 1 species
GACGAACGCUGGCGGCGUGCUUAACACAUGCAAGUCGAACGGAAAGGCCUCUUUCGGGGGGUACUCGAGUGGCGAACGGGUGAGUAACACGUGAGUAACCUGCCCUUGACUUUGGGAUAACUUCAGGAAACUGGGGCUAAUACCGGAUAGGAGCUCCUGCUGCAUGGUGGGGGUUGGAAAGUUUCGGCGGUUGGGGGUGGACUCGCGGCGUAUCAGCUUGUUGGUGGGGUAGUGGCUUACCAAGGCUUUGACGGGUAGCCGGCCUGAGAGGGUGACCGGCCACAUUGGGACUGAGAUACGGCCCAGACUCCUACGGGAGGCAGCAGUGGGGAAUAUUGCACAAUGGGUGGAAGCCUGAUGCAGCAACGCCGUGUGCGGGAUGACGGCCUUCGGGUUGUAAACCGCUUUCGCUCAUGACGAAGCUUUGUGUGACGGUAGUGGGUAAAGAAGCACCGGCUAACUACGUG